CGAGAAUAGAGUAGCAGGCUGGUAUCUCCUGCGCCCGUUUAGCGGGUUCUUCUCCGCCACGG
rnacentral:ncRNA from 1 species